GAUAGAGAGAGAAAAAUAAUAAUGUAUAGUUCAUCUGCCAUACUUGCCACCUUAAAUAUCAAAAUUAGCCUUACUGCCGCGCCUCUUCAUUAGAAUUAAGACCCGAAGCCCUUUGAGGUUGGGAGCGCGGAGUUCUUGCUGCCCGAGUUGGUGUGAUUGUACGUGGAGUUAUGUGCUUGGCUUCCACUCCUCUUCGGUAGGGAAGAGGGGAGAAUACUGCGGGAGAAGAGAGCCGAUCUCACUCCGAGGCUGCGGUGACGCCGCCGGGAUUCCUGCCGAUGUACCACCGAGCAGGUUGCUAUAAAUCUCUCCUUGGAUCAGGAGUGCAGAAUCACAAUGGCAAUGGCUACCUGAGAUGAAUCCUGGUGGAUGAGGGUCGAGCUGCUGGAGAGAGACUGUCUCAGACUUGCUGCUUCUUACCCCUGAGUUCCCCCCCCCCAGUGAUCUAAACAAGCUUUGUUGGUAUGAAAGGAAGGGGGUGGGCAAUGGGAGAGUAGCUUGGGGAGAGGGGGUGAUGGAAU